UACAGAGGUCCCAAGCGUUGUUCGGAUUCACUGGGCGUAAAGGGUGCGUAGGUGGUGAGGUAAGUUCGAUGUGAAAUCUCCGGGCUCAACCCGGAAAUGGCAUUGAAUACUAUCUCGCUAGAGAGUCGGAGGGGGGACUGGAAUACUUGGUGUAGCAGUGAAAUGCGUAGAUAUCAAGUGGAACACCAGUGGCGAAGGCGAGUCCCUGGACGACUUCUGACACUGAGGCACGAAAGCUAGGGGAGCAAACAGG
rnacentral:rRNA from 1 species